CAAGAAAUAGUUUAGCUUAGAAUCCUAGCUUUGGGAGUUAGGGGCGGGGGUUAAAAUCCCCCUUUCUUGA
rnacentral:tRNA from 1 species